UACGUAGGGUGCGAGCGUUAAUCGGAAUUACUGGGCGUAAAGCGUGCGUAGGCGGUUCGUUAAGUUCGUUGUGAAAGCCCCGGGCUCAACCUGGGAACUGCAAUGGAAACUGGCGGGCUUGAGUGUGGCAGAGGGGGGUGGAAUUCCGCGUGUAGCAGUGAAAUGCGUAGAGAUGUGGAGGAACACCGAUGGCGAAGGCAGCCCCCUGGGCCAGCACUGACGCUCAUGCACGAAAGCGUGGGGAGCAAACAGG
rnacentral:rRNA from 1 species